rnacentral:rRNA from 1 species
GCUAUAAUGCAAGUCGAGCGAACAGAUAAGGAGCUUGCUCCUUUGACGUUAGCGGCGGACGGGUGAGUAACACGUGGGUAACCUACCUAUAAGACUGGGAUAACUUCGGGAAACCGGAGCUAAUACCGGAUAAUAUUUCGAACCGCAUGGUUCGAUAGUGAAAGAUGGUUUUGCUAUCACUUAUAGAUGGACCCGCGCCGUAUUAGCUAGUUGGUAAGGUAACGGCUUACCAAGGCGACGAUACGUAGCCGACCUGAGAGGGUGAUCGGCCACACUGGAACUGAGACACGGUCCAGACUCCUACGGGAGGCAGCAGUAGGGAAUCUUCCGCAAUGGGCGAAAGCCUGACGGAGCAACGCCGCGUGAGUGAUGAAGGUCUUCGGAUCGUAAAACUCUGUUAUUAGGGAAGAACAUACGUGUAAGUAACUGUGCACGUCUUGACGGUACCUAAUCAGAAAGCCACGGCUAACUACGUGCCAGCAGCCGCGGUAAUACGUAGGUGGCAAGCGUUAUCCGGAAUUAUUGGGCGUAAAGCGCGCGUAGGCGGUUUUUUAAGUCUGAUGUGAAAGCCCACGGCUCAACCGUGGAGGGUCAUUGGAAACUGGA